AGCAGUCGCCACGGUAAUACGUAGGUCCCGAGUGUUGUCCGGAAUUAUUGGGCGUAAAGCGCGCGCAGGUGGUUUAAUAAGUCUGAUGUGAAAGCCCACGGCUCAACCGUGGAGGGUCAUUGGAAACUGUUAAACUUGAGUGCAGGAGAGAAAAGUGGAAUUCCUAGUGUAGCGGUGAAAUGCGUAGAGAUUAGGAGGAACACCAGUGGCGAAGGCGGCUUUUUGGCCUGUAACUGACACUGAGGCGCGGAAGCGUGGGGAGCAAACAGGAUUAGAUACCCGUGUAGUCCCUGUCUCUUAUAA
rnacentral:rRNA from 1 species